UGCAUGGCUGUCGUCAGCUCGUGUCGUGAGAUGUGGGUUAAGUCCCGCAACGAGCGCAACCCUACUCUUAUGUUGCCAGCACGUUAUGGUGGGGACUCGUAAGAGACUGCCGGGGUCGAACUCGGAGGAAGGUGGGGACGGACGUCAAGUCAUCAUGCCCCUUAUGUCCAGGGCUUCACACAUGCUACAAUGGCCAGUACAGAGGGCUGCGAGACCGUGAGGUGGAGCGAAUCCCUUAAAGCUGGUCUCAGUUCGGAUCGGGGUCUGCAACUCGACCCCGUGAAGUCGGAGUCGCUAGUAAUCGCAGAUCAGCAACGCUGCGGUGAAUACGUUCCCGGGCCUU
rnacentral:rRNA from 1 species